rnacentral:lncRNA from 1 species
UAUAUAUUUUACUUAUUUAUUUAGUUUAUUGCCUGUUUCCCCUUGUUUGAAUGUCAGCUCCAAGAGUUCCAGGAUUUAACCCUGUUUUGUCCACUCUGUCCACCAUGCCUGAAACAGUGAUGGGCACCAUGAACUUGGGAACACCUAUUCUGAUGCUCUAAGUGCCUCAUGAAUUUCUUUUAUGGCAACGAUUGGAGAUGGGCAUACUCACAUUGCAAGGAUGGUGUUGAAAUGCAACAAAACAUUUUUAAGAGAAGAAAUCUUUAUCAUCAGAUGCCCCAGAAGAAUUUGGCUCUGUGAAGACCAAUCACACGGUGAGAACUGGCUUUCAGUAGCCCUGCAUGAAAAAUGAUGUUAAAUAGGCUGUGGGCAGGGAUUGCCCUCUAACUGAAGAGUUGAGUGAUGGAAAUUCCCUUUAGUAGUCGGUGUGCCUAAUUUUCUAAAUUUACUUGGACAGUUUUCUUCAUAAGGCUCCCCCGCCACAGGUGUGUUUCCACCUAAUUGACUUCUCUUCACUUCCCUUCACCUUAUUUGCUUUUCAUCACGUUCUCUGACUCUCCUUUCACGUAACCCCUGUUCUAUCAUAGCCUCAAGGCUUUGCUGUGAAAACUUCUUUAUUUUUAAAUUUGUGAACAAUUCAUUUCUCUAGUUUGCCAGAAAAUUUUGCAUUGCUAUAAUGAAAGUAUUUAGCCAUAGUAAACGCACAUCUUACACCAUUCUCAAUACACACCUUUUAAAGUAGCAUGUUCGCAUGAGAGAAAUGACAGCUGAUUGGUUGAUAAUUAGUCAAAGGCAUAUUGCAGAAACGUGAUUAUUUGUGGCUUGUUAAAUUAUUGGUAUAAUUAGAAUGUCUUACAACUAGGAAUGUCUGUUUGACUUUAUGUAUGCCUGGG